rnacentral:rRNA from 1 species
GAACCGAAGCCGCAGGCGCGCAAUUACCCACUCCCGGCACGGGGAGGUAGUGACGAAAAAUAACGAUACGGGACUCAUCCGAGGCCCCGUAAUCGGAAUGAGUACACUUUAAAUCCUUUAACGAGGACCAAUUGGAGGGCAAGUCUGGUGCCAGCAGCCGCGGUAACUCCAGCUCCAAUAGCGUAUAUUAAAGUUGUUGCGGUUAAAAAGCUCGUAGUUGAAUCUGUGUCCCACACUGUCGGUUCACCGCUCGCGGUGUUAAACUGGCAUGUCUGUGGGACGUCCUGCCGGUGGGCGCAGCCCGUCAAACGGCGGCCCAACUAACAAUCCUACCACGGUGCUCUUCACCGAGUGUCGAGGUGGGCCGGUACGUUUACUUUGAACAAAUUAGAGUGCUUAAAGCAGGCUAAUUCGCCUGAAUAUUAUGUGCAUGGAAUAAUGGAAUAGGACCUCGGUUCUAUUUUGUUGGUUUUCGGAACUCCGAGGUAAUGAUUAAUAGGGACAACUGGGGGCAUUCGUAUUGCGACGUUAGAGGUGAAAUUCUUGGAUCGUCGCAAGACGGACAGAAGCGAAAGCAUUUGCCAAAUGUGUUUUCAUCAAUCAAGAACGAAAGUUAGAGGUUCGAAGGCGAUCAGAUACCGCCCUAGUUCUAACCAUAAACGAUGCCAGCUAGCGAUCCGCCGAAGUUCCUCCGAUGACUCGGCGGGCAGCUUCCGGGAAACCAAAGCUUUUAGGUUCCGGGGGAAGUAUGGUUGCAAAGCUGAAACUUAAAGGAAUUGACGGAAGGGCACCACCAGGAGUGGAGCCUGCGGCUUAAUUUGACUCAACACGGGAAACCUCACCAGGCCCGGACACCGGAAGGAUUGACAGAUUGAGAGCUCUUUCUUGAUUCGGUGGGUGGUGGUGCAUGGCCGUUCUUAGUUGGUGAAGUGAUUUGUCUGGUUAAUUCCGAUAACGAACGAGACUCUAGCC